GUUUGGUUAAGUUAGAAAGGGCGGACGGUGGAUGCGUUGACACUAGGAGUCGAUAAAGGACGGGACUAACGCCGAUAUGCUUCGGGGAGCUAUAAGUAAGCUUUGAUCCGUAGAUUUCCGAAUGGGGAAACCCACCAUACGUAAUGGUAUGGUAUCCUUAUAUGAAUACACAGGGUAAGGAACACAGACCCACGGAACUGUAACAUUUAAGUACAUGGAGGAAGCGAAAGAAAACACGAUCUCCUGAGUAGCUCAGAAGGAAACGCAAAAGAGUCCA
rnacentral:rRNA from 1 species